rnacentral:rRNA from 1 species
CCUACGGGAGGCAGCAGUAGGGAAUAUUGCACAAUGGGGGAAAGCCUGAAGCAGCAACGCAGCGUGGAGGAUGAAGGUCUUCGGAUUGUAAACUCCUUUUGUUAGAGAAGAGAAUGACGGUAUCUAACGAAUAAGCACCGGCUAACUCCGGGCCAGCAGCCGCGGUAAUACGGAGGGUGAGAGCGUUACUCGGAAUCACUGGGCGUAAAGAGCGCGUAGGCGGGAUAGCAAGUCAGAUGUGAAAUCCUAUGGCUUAACCAUAGAACUGCAUUUGAAACUGUUAUUCUAGAGUAUAGGAGAGGUAGGUGGAAUUCUUGGUGUAGGGGUGAAAUCCGUAGAGAUCAAGAGGAAUACUGAUUGCGAAGGCGACCUGCUAGAACAUAACUGACGCUGAUGCGCGAAAGCGUGGGGAGCAAACAGGAUUAGAUACCCUAGUAGUC